rnacentral:rRNA from 1 species
GGGUCAGUAGGUUGGUCGUGCCACCGGUACGUACUGGUCUCACUGAUUCCUCCUUCCUGAAGAACCGUAAUGCCAUUAAUUUGGUGUUGCGGGGAAACAGGACUGUUACUUUGAAAAAAUUAGAGUGUUUAAAGCAAGCUAACGCCUGAAUACAUUAGCAUGGAAUAACGAAAUAGGACGAUCGAUCCUAUUUUGUUGGUUUCUAGGAUUGACGUA